rnacentral:snRNA from 1 species
AUUGCUUCUUGGCCUUUUGGCUAAGAUCAAGUGUAGCUAGAGCCUUCUAAACAAUUUUAUAAAUUUUAUUUAAGUAUAGUUGAUUUACAUGUUGUUUAAUUUCUGCUUACAGCAAAGUGACUCGAU